GCGUGCGGCCCCGCUGCCCAGAGAGCCUGCCAGCAGCGCGCCCUCGGCGGCUCCGGUCCCAGCCGCGCCCGCCGCCUCGCCUCCUCCGCCUCGGCCGCGUCCCGACUCCGGGGUUCGCCCGGCCACUCGGAGGGUCCCCCCAAGCCGGCUCCGGCUCCCCGCAGCGCCGCCCGGCUCCAGCCCCGGGGAAGGUAGCAGCGGGCGAGCGCGCCCUCGCCCCCACCCCCCAAGCCCCGCGCCCCAGCCCCGCGCGGCGACCAAGGACCGGGAAGAUGAACGGCGGCGGCAAAGCCGAGAAGGAGAACACCCCGAGUGAGGCCAACCUUCAGGAGGAGGAGGUCCGGACCCUAUUUGUCAGUGGUCUACCCCUGGACAUCAAACCCCGAGAGCUCUACCUGCUCUUCAGACCAUUCAAGGGCUAUGAGGGUUCUCUUAUAAAGCUCACAUCUAAACAGCCUGUAGGUUUUGUCAGUUUUGACAGUCGUUCAGAAGCAGAAGCUGCAAAGAACGCUUUGAACGGCAUCCGCUUCGAUCCUGAAAUCCCGCAAACACUACGACUAGAGUUUGCUAAGGCAAACACGAAGAUGGCCAAGAGCAAACUUGUAGGGACUCCAAACCCCAGUGCGCCUUUGCCCAACACUGUACCUCAGUUCAUUGCCAGAGAGCCAUAUGAGCUCACAGUGCCUGCACUUUACCCCAGUAGCCCUGAAGUGUGGGCCCCGUACCCUCUGUACCCAGCGGAGCUAGCGCCUGCUCUUCCUCCUCCUGCUUUCACCUAUCCCGCUUCACUGCAUGCCCAGAUGCGCUGGCUCCCUCCCUCCGAGGCUACUUCCCAGGGCUGGAAGUCCCGGCAGUUCUGCUGAGGUGGUGUCUCGGGUGUGUGAUGGCGGCUGCAAUCUGUCUUGUGGGUAUUAAUGCGAUCUUCACUGGUGGCGACUGUCAUCCAGCUGUUCUGCAAAACUGGAGCUUGCUGGCUCGAAAACACCUUGCCCAGUUUUGAUCCCUUCAAGACUUCGCCACAGCCUCUAUCACACAUCUGUUACCCUCAAAGAAAAAAAUAUAUAUAAUAAAAUGUGUUUUACUCUUUUACACUGUAUAAUUUUAAGAAAUAUGUGUUAUUUGUGAAUGCAUGGUCUGACAUUUCUGUACAGUUUGGAGACAUAUAGAACAAAGGCAUCAGUAAAAGCCAAGACAGUUAGUAUUUUUAUAACAGACAUUUUAAGUGUGGAAGGAUGGAAACUUAUACUAGGUUAGAUAAUGACUUCUGCGCUUGGUUUUUGAAUGCUUUUAAUGGUGUUUAUCUUGUUUUUCUUACGAAAUAAGCUGCAUGUUUGAGGCAUGUCUCUAAAUAGCAUCAAAGUUUCCACGGUUGUGUUGUGAGUGUGUGGACUCCAUCUGCCUGGCAUAUUCGUAACAUGGUGUAGACAUGAGCUUCUGCAGUAUUAGCUCCGUAAUCCUGCCUCCCAGGGAUCUCCCUGCAAGACAAUCAGUGCCCCCAAGAGCAUCUGCUAUCAUAGUAUAUUCACAACUGGGAAAAGACUACUUAGGUAAUGCCUCCUGAGCAUGGUGCACCAUCUGAAAAUUAUGGCAGCUCUGGCUGCAAUUAUUCUAACUGUGCCAAGUAGCGUAUUGCCAUUUUAUACUUAUAUUUAUUCUUACCAUUUAUGAGCACCUUCAGAGCGUGUGACCUAAUAUACCACUCAGCUUCCAUAAAUUGUUCUCACUUCCUCAGUGGAACAGUAAGGUCCACCUCACUAAGUGGAGGGACCAUGGUUUGGAGGCAAACAUGGCCACAGUAGGAGCAGGCUUUGCCCAACCCAGGCUGCAAUGGGCAUCACAUCUCUCUCAAGUGACUCAGCAAAGCACUGGCCUACCUGAGCUGCUGUGCUAUAGUCUGGCAGCUGUGUCAGAUACACCGUCCAUCACAUCCUCUGGAACACUGUGUGCGCAUCUUGAGACUACCUAGUGCAUUGCACAGGGCGGGACAAGUAAUCGUGGCCAAUUUGCAAUGAAAGCUGUUACCUUUGCUUCAAGUCUUCAAAGCCCAGAGUCAGUCUUGUGUUGUAUGCCAACACAUUUCCAGAGGCUGUGACAGCACAGGUUCUCCCGCUCCUCAGACAAGAGCCAUGUGUAAGACUAUAAUGACCUCAGAAUUCCCAGCUGCUGAUACAGCUAGACAUAAUCACAAUCUUUGUAUCUUUGUUAUUGAUCUGCUUGUGUUGUUUAGAAAAAGUCAUGUUUUAAUGAUUAUAUCAAUGGUUGGGGGGGUUCACUAUUUUUCUUUAGAAAUAAAAAUGUCAAGUUUUUAAAGGUUAUUAAAAAGAGAAGCGCCAAGGCCUGGAGUAAAGGCCUUUUCACUAUGAACUAGAGUAAAGGGGGCAGGCAGCCACUGAGGACAUAGACAUCCGCGUUGGUGCUCAGGAACUGCUCAUGCCCUCAGAACCAUUGGCUGUGAGACUCCUCUAUUUGCUUUAAAGAGAGCUACUUCACCAUCGAUUAUGCUUUUAUAAAUUGUGUAAAGGUACUUUUCUAUUGUUGUUUUUAAAAAAAAAACAAUAAAGUUUAUCCCAGCUAUUA